rnacentral:lncRNA from 10 species
AAUCAAGCUGCUGCGGCCUCCAGGGAGGUCCUGUCUCCCCAGCCGGGUGUCGGAGAGCGAUUGGGGAGCUGAGCGACCACCCACCGCUCCAUGGCCGUCCCCUUCGAAACACGGCGCACUGGCCAUGACUGACUCGCCCAUCGCCCUGGUUUCCGUCCCUCUGGUUUCCUGGGGUUACUGGGCUGUUUGAUGGGUUAUUCCAUGUCUUCGCCAUUAGAUUGGCAGGAAAUAAAAUAAUUGUGUAUUAAACUCUUAUGAGUAAUAUACGUUUAAGUUUCAGAGCAAACUCUCAAGACUUGGAAUUUAUUCUGGCCACUUUACAGAUGAGAAAAGUGAGGCCAUAGAGGUUAGGGAAUGAUGUGCUCGAAGUCUAGUGAGUGCUAGAGAGGAAUUCACCCAACUCCAAAGCCCUCAACUCUACCCCAGGAGGGCAGAUUAUAUCACCAAAGUAGCCCCUUAAUCUGCCAUCACCACAUAGAACAACAUAUUUAUUAAAUAAUAAUUACGGCUACGCUUAGUGCCUAUUAUGUGUCAGGUUCGAGGCGGGGGAGGUUUUGCAGGCACCAUCCCACUGAACCUUCACAACACAGCUAUAAUGCAGAUUACCGAUAAAGAAACUGAGGCUCAGGUAAGUAACUUGCUCAAGGUUAUACAGCUAAAAGCAAUAGGUAUGGCCAUAAAACCCAGGGGAUCCUUCUCAGAGACUGUUCCCUGAUCUCUGUAAUGCAUCUCCUUUCUAAAAUAAUCGGAGAUAACCCAAAUCUUUCUUCUAAACAUCAGCAUUCAUUGAGCUAUCUCCUACAGGUUAUGCUUUAAUUUUUUUAUUUGUUUGAGACAGGGUCUUGCUCUGUCGCCCAGGCUGGAGUGCAGUGGUGCAAUCAUAGCUCCCUGCAGCCUCCCACCCCGCAAUCCUCCCACCUCAGCCUCCCCAGUAGUUAGGACUAAAGAUGCAUGCCACCCCCGGCUAAUUUUUUAAAAAAUUUUUUGUAGAGUCAAGGUCUCACUAUGUUGGCCAUGCUGGUCUGGAACUCCUGGGCUCAAGUGAUCCUCCUGACUUGCCUUCCCAAAGUGCUGGGAUUACAGGCGUGAGUCACCACACCAAGCCUAAAUUCUUGUAUUUUCAUGUUUACAUGUAUAAGUAUUUAUGUAGGGAGAAUUUCUAGAGGUAGAAUUGCUAGGUCAAUGGGUGUUGGCACCAUUAAUCUUGAUCAACAUUGUCUAAUUUUUCUCCAUAAUGUCCAAUUUUACAUUUAUGAGCAAUAUGUGGGAAUUUCUUUUCUUUUUUUCUGGAGACAGAGUCUCGCUCUGUAGCCCAGGCUGGAGUGCAGUGGCGUGAUCUCGGCUCAGUGCAACUUCCGCCUCCCAAGUUAAGUGAUUCUCGUGCCUCAGCCUCCCAAGUAGCUGGGACUACAGGCGUGCACCACCACGCCUAGCUAAUUUUUGUAUUUUUGGUAGAGACAAGGUUUCACCAUAUUGGCCAGACUGGUCUUGAACUCCUGACCUCAAGUGAUUCGCCCGCCUUGGCCUCCCAAAGUAUUGGGAUUACAGGAGUAAGCCACUGCGCCUGGCCGGGAAUCUCUUUUCACCCACACUUUUGCUAACAAACUUUUUGACAAGUUCUAUUAAAAAUUUAAGGUUAGACCUCAUUUUAAGUUUGUGUGUGUGUGUGUUUACCAAAUUCAUGAUCAUCCCUUGGGUUGAAAAUCAUCAAAGAUAUCUCACAGUGUUAACAAUCUAAUGAUUCUAGCCCUAUUCUUAUAGAAAGUAAUUCUUAUUUGACCCCAAUUGUAUUUAAGGAAUGGAGUU